rnacentral:miRNA from 1 species
UCAGCUGUUUCGAUGCCUUCUU